AGUCUGCCUUGAAGAUCGGAGUGCUUGCACUCUGUGAAACAAGAUACAGGCUAGCGGCGGACGGGUGAGUAACACGUGGGUAACCUGCCCAAGAGAUCGGGAUAACACCUGGAAACAGAUGCUAAUACCGGAUAACAACAGAUGAUGCCUAUCAACUGUUUAAAAGAUGGUUCUGCUAUCACUCUUGGAUGGACCUGCGGUGCAUUAGCUAGUUGGUAGGGUAACGGCCUACCAAGGCGAUGAUGCAUAGCCGAGUUGAGAGACUGAUCGGCCACAUUGGGACUGAGACACGGCCCAAACUCCUACGGGAGGCAGCAGUAGGGAAUCUUCCACAAUGGACGCAAGUCUGAUGGAGCAACGCCGCGUGAGUGAAGAAGGGUUUCGGCUCGUAAAGCUCUGUUGUUGGUGAAGAAGGACAGGGGUAGUAACUGACCUUUGUUUGACGGUAAUCAAUUAGAAAGUCACGGCUAACUACGUGCCAGCAGCCGCGGUAAUACGUAGGUGGCAAGCGUUGUCCGGAUUUAUUGGGCGUAAAGCGAGUGCAGGCGGCUCGAUAAGUCUGAUGUGAAGGCCUUCGGCUCAACCGGAGAAUUGCAUCAGAAACUGUCGAGCUUGAGUACAGAAGAGGAGAGUGGAACUCCAUGUGUAGCGGUGAAAUGCGUAGAUAUAUGGAAGAACACCGGUGGCGAAGGCGGCUCUCUGGUCUGUUACUGACGCUGAGGCUCGAAAGCAUGGGUAGCGAACAGGAUUAGAUACCCUGGUAGUCCAUGCCGUANACGAUGAGUGCUAAGUGUUGGGAGGUUUCCGCCUCUCAGUGCUGCAGCUAACGCAUUAAGCACUCCG
rnacentral:rRNA from 1 species